rnacentral:rRNA from 1 species
ACGAACGCUGGCGGCGUGCUUAACACAUGCAAGUCGAACGAUGAAGCCCUUCGGGGUGGAUUAGUGGCGAACGGGUGAGUAACACGUGGGCAAUCUGCCCUUCACUCUGGGACAAGCCCUGGAAACGGGGUCUAAUACCGGAUAACACUCUGUCCCGCAUGGGANGGGGUUAAAAGCUCCGGCGGUGAAGGAUGAGCCCGCGGCCUAUCAGCUUGUUGGUGGGGUGAUGGCCUACCAAGGCGACGACGGGUAGCCG